UUUGUGGGUCCCGAUCUCGAUCCGAGUUGCAAUCUGAUGAGUGAGACACACCACACAUGGAUAGGAGACUUGUGAAAGCAGUGGAGGACAACAAAGUCGAUGAGGUGGAAGCUCUUUUGAAGUCAGGCGCUUCGCCUGAUGCGUGUGAUAGUAAUGGAUGGCCUGUACUUGUUACAGCUUGUGGUAAAGGCUACAUUUCCAUCGUACAACAUUUGUUACAGAAAGGAGCAAAUGUUAACAAAGCAGAUCCUAAUGUAAGUGUUGA